GUUCAGACCGUCGUGAGCCAGGUCGGUCUCUAUCCGGUAUGGGCGUUGUAUAUUUGAGGGAUUCGACCCCUAGUACGAAAGGAUCGGGGUGUGGCAACCUCUAGUGUACCAGCUGUUCUACCAAGAGCAUAGCUGGGUAGCUAAGUUGUUUUAGGAUAAAUACUGAAAGCAUAUAAGUAUGAAACCUUUCCCAAGAUUAGAUAUACUUGCAUAGCUUGGCUAUGCGUGAGGUCCGUGGGAGACUACCACGUUGAUAGGCUCUAGGUGUAAGCACAGUAAUGUGUUGAGCCAAGGAGUACUAAUAGACCGAAAGCUUCAUAUAUUUU
rnacentral:rRNA from 1 species